AAUCCAGAGAUGGAUUUGUGCCUUCGGGAACUGUGAGACAGGUGCUGCAUGGCUGUCGUCAGCUCGUGUUGUGAAAUGUUGGGUUAAGUCCCGCAACGAGCGCAACCCUUAUCCUUUGUUGCCAGCGAUUAGGUCGGGAACUCAAAGGAGACUGCCAGUGAUAAACUGGAGGAAGGUGGGGAUGACGUCAAGUCAUCAUGGCCCUUACGACCAGGGCUACACACGUGCUACAAUGGCGCAUACAAAGAGAAGCGACCUCGCGAGAGCAAGCGGACCUCAUAAAGUGCGUCGUAGUCCGGAUUGGAGUCUGCAACUCGACUCCAUGAAGUCGGAAUCGCUAGUAAUCGUGGAUCAGAAUGCCACGGUGAAUACGUUCCCGGGCCUUGUACACACCGCCCGUCACACCAUGGGAGUGGGUUGCAAAAGAAGUAGGUAGCUUAACCUUCGGGAGGGCGCUUACCACUUUGUGAUUCAUGACUGGGGUGAAGUCGUAACAAGGUAACCGUAGGGGAACCUGCGGUUGGAUCACC
rnacentral:rRNA from 1 species